rnacentral:rRNA from 1 species
AUUGAACGCUGGCGGCAUGCUUUACACAUGCAAGUCGAACGGCAGCGCGGGCUUCGGCCUGGCGGCGAGUGGCGAACGGGUGAGUAAUGCAUCGGAACGUGCCCAGUAGUGGGGGAUAGCCCGGCGAAAGCCGGAUUAAUACCGCAUACGACCUGAGUGUGAAAGCGGGGGACCGAAAGGCCUCGCGCUAUUGGAGCGGCCGAUGUCGGAUUAGCUAGUUGGUGGGGUAAAGGCUUACCAAGGCGACGAUCCGUAGCUGGUCUGAGAGGACGACCAGCCACAUAGAGACUAGACCCGGACCCGACGACAAACGGGAGGCAGAGUAGGGGAAUUUGGGCAAGGGGGGCAACCCUGAUCCAGCCAUGCCGCGUGCGGGAAGAAGGCCUUCGGGUUGUAAACCGCUUUUGUUCGGGAAGAAAUCCUCUGGGCUAAUACCCAGGGGGGAUGACGGUACCGGAAGAAUAAGCACCGGCUAACUACGUG